GAUGAACGCUGGCGGCGUGCCUAAUACAUGCAAGUCGAGCGAAUGGAUUAAGAGCUUGCUCUUAUGAAGUUAGCGGCGGACGGGUGAGUAACACGUGGGUAACCUACCCAUAAGACUGGGAUAACUCCGGGAAACCGGGGCUAAUACCGGAUAAUAUUUUGAACUGCAUAGUUCGAAAUUGAAAGGCGGCUUCGGCUGUCACUUAUGGAUGGACCCGCGUCGCAUUAGCUAGUUGGUGAGGUAACGGCUCACCAAGGCGACGAUGCGUAGCCGACCUGAGAGGGUGAUCGGCCACACUGGGACUGAGACACGGCCCAGACUCCUACGGGAGGCAGCAGUAGGGAAUCUUCCGCAAUGGACGAAAGUCUGACGGAGCAACGCCGCGUGAGUGAUGAAGGCUUUCGGGUCGUAAAACUCUGUUGUUAGGGAAGAACAAGUGCUAGUUGAAUAAG
rnacentral:rRNA from 2 species